rnacentral:lncRNA from 1 species
AUAAAAUUUGCUAUCGUAAAUGGUAUUGGUUGUUUUGUUUAAAUAUGUGCUUUAUGUGGAUUAUAGGAAAGUCAAUAAAUUUGUUUUCAUCAUUACAAUAUCUUCAUACUAUUGGCUGGAUUGGCCUCAUAGAAGCUUUUCGGAUUUUCACCUGGAAGACCCAAGUUCCAUUAUCUGGCCCCACUCACCUGGAAAAUUUAUUCAUGGGUCUGGGCAGGCCAUCGAUCCCUGUUCUCCACAAUCCACUCUGCAGGAAUAGCAAGCCUGAGGACGGACUUGUUUCAUUCUGUCACUUACAAGUUAGUAUCUGACAACGAUCUAAUUGUUGAUUGAUCCCUAGUAUGAGUAUUUAGAAUUAAAUUGUUAUUUUAGUAAUUAUUUUAAAUUAAGACUAUCUGCCACGUCUGUUGAAUGAAUAAUUAAUUCAACCAAUUUAAUUAGACAGUGGUUUAUAUAACUUCAAAAUUGAUAUGACUAUAACGUCUGUUAUCCAUCAGCCAAAUAAAUAAACAUUCAACUACAGGAUAUUUUUAUUUCUCA